rnacentral:rRNA from 1 species
UACGUAGGUGGCAAGCGUUGUCCGGAUUUACUGGGCGUAAAGAGCGCGCAGGCGGUCGAAUAAGUCGCGUGUGAAAGCCCCCGGCUCAACUGGGGAGGGUCACGCGAUACUGUCGAGCUUGAGACCGGAAGAGGUAAGUGGAACUGCGAGUGUAGAGGUGAAAUUCGUAGAUAUUCGCAAGAACACCAGUGGCGAAGGCGGCUUACUGGUCCGGUUCUGACGCUGAGGCGCGAAAGCGUGGGGAGCAAACAGG